UGGCGAGGCUAUAACUGACGCUAAAGCUCGAAGGUGCGGGUAUCGAACAGGAUUAGAUACCCUGGUAGUCCGCACGGUAAACGAUGGAUGCCCGCUGUAUGCGAUAUACUGUAUGCGGCCAAGCGAAAGCGUUAAGCAUCCCACCUGGGGAGUACGCCGGCAACGGUGAAACUCAAAGGAAUUGACGGGGGCCCGCACAAGCGGAGGAACAUGUGGUUUAAUUCGAUGAUACGCGAGGAACCUUACCCGGGCUUGAACUGCAGGAGAACGAUUCAGAGAUGAUGAGGCCCUUCGGGCUCCUGUGGAGGUGCUGCAUGGUUGUCGUCAGCUCGUGCCGUGAGGUGUCGGCUUAAGUGCCAUAACGAGCGCAACCCCUGCGACUAGUUGCCAUCAGGUCAUGCUGGGCACUCUGGUUGGACUGCCACCGUAAGGUGUGAGGAAGGUGGGGAUGACGUCAAAUCAGCACGGCCCUUACGUCCGGGGCUACACACGUGUUACAAUGGGAGGUACAGAGAGAUGGUGUUCCGCAAGGCGCAUCUAAUCCUAAAAGCCUUCCUCAGUUCGGAUUGGGGUCUGCAACCCGACCCCAUGAAGCUGGAUU
rnacentral:rRNA from 1 species